rnacentral:rRNA from 1 species
UACGGAGGAUGCAAGCGUUAUCCGGAAUGAUUGGGCGUAAAGCGUCCGCAGGUGGCUAUGUAAGUCUGCUGUUAAAGAGUGAGGCUCAACCUCAUAAGAGCAGUGGAAACUACAUGGCUAGAGUGCGUUCGGGGCAGAGGGAAUUCCUGGUGUAGCGGUGAAAUGCGUAGAGAUCAGGAAUAACACCGGUGGCGAAAGCGCUCUGCUAGGCCGCAACUGACACUGAGGGACGAAAGCUAGGGGAGCGAAUGGG